rnacentral:rRNA from 1 species
CAUGCAGUCGAGGGGUAGAGGAGAGCUUGCUUUCCUUGAGACCGGCGCACGGGUGCGUAACGCGUAUGCAACCUACCUUAAUCUGGGGGAUAGCCUCUCGAAAGAGAGAUUAACACCGCAUAAAAUCAAAGAACGGCAUCGUUUAAUGAUCAAAUAUUUAUAGGAUUAAGAUGGGCAUGCGUGACAUUAGCUAGUUGGUGAGGUAACGGCUCACCAAGGCGACGAUGUCUAGGGGAUCUGAGAGGAUGACCCCCCACACUGGUACUGAGACACGGACCAGACUCCUACGGGAGGCAGCAGUAAGGAAUAUUGGUCAAUGGAGGCAACUCUGAACCAGCCAUGCCGCGUGCAGGAAGACGGCCCUACGGGUUGUAAACUGCUUUUAUUCGGGAAUAAACCUCUUUACGUGUAAAGAGUUGAAUGUACCGAAAGAAUAAGGAUCGGCUAACUCCGUGCCAGCAGCCGCGGUAAUACGGAGGAUCCAAGCGUUAUCCGGAUUUAUUGGGUUUAAAGGGUGCGUAGGCGGCUUAUUAAGUCAGGGGUGAAAGACGGUGGCUCAACCAUCGCAGUGCCUUUGAUACUGAUGAGCUUGAAUACACUAGAGGUAGGCGGAAUGUGACAAGUAGCGGUGAAAUGCAUAGAUAUGUCACAGAACACCAAUUGCGAAGGCAGCUUACUAUGGUGUCAUUGACGCUGAGGCACGAAAGCGUGGGGAUCAAACAGGAUUAGAUACCCUGGUAGUCCACGCCCUAAACGAUGAAUACUCGAUGUUAGCGAUAUACAGUUAGCGUCUAAGCGAAAGCGUUAAGUAUUCCACCUGGGGAGUA